UUAAGAAUCUUGCACAAUGGGGGCAACCCUGAUGCAGCGACGCCGCGUGAGUGAUGAAGGUCGUAAGAUCGUAAAACUCUUUUCAGGGAUCUUAAAGCACAACCGUCAACAACGGCUGUGUGUGACUCUCCCUGGAAGAAGCCCCAGCCAACUACGUGCCAGCAGCUGAGGUAAUACGUAGGGGGCGAGCGUUAUUCGGAAUUACUGGGUGUAAAGGGUAUGUAGGCGGCCCUUCAAGUCGCGUGUCAAAGUCCAGUGCUCAACGCUGGGUGUGCGCGCGAUACUGACGGGCUUGAGGGCUGGAGAGGCGAGCUGAAUUCCCGGUGUAGUGGUAAAAUACGUAGAGAUCGGGAGGAACACCAGCGGCGCAGGCGGCUCACUAGACAGUUUCUGACGCUAAGAUACGAAAGCGUGGGGAGCAAACA
rnacentral:rRNA from 1 species